AUGGGAGUUAGGGACAUUUCUGCUGGGAGCCCAUCCUGGAAGGGACAUCCUGCCGUGCAUCUUCAGUGAGCUCCUCACAGAAAAAUGUGAGCUGGUCAGAGGCAAAGAGCAGAGAGCCUAAAACACAAAGGUAAGUGACACCUGCAAUUUUACCAGAAGCUCUCAGAGCAGUGUGCAAGGCAAGAGCCAGGCAUGUGAACCCAUCAGUCUGCAGUGCUCACAAAGCUGGCGACUCAUCUGCUGCAGGAAUGUCACGGGGAACUGAAGGCAAAUCAUCCUCGGCUCUGCCAAGGGUGUCCUGCUGUCUGUCAGAGGCCAGCAACUGGAGGCAGUUCCAGUGAAAUCUCUUGCUUAGUGAGGAUGUAAAAGAUAUUCUCAGCACUGCCAAGAGUGAGAGCCUCACAGAGAGAGCAGCAGCUGAAGGGACGAAACUUUGGAGUCACUGGUGAUGGGAAGUGACUGCAUUCUGCUACAUUCACCUCUCCCUAGCCUUGGCAGAGAAGAACUGUCCUUCCACUGGAAUGGUUUUGUGGAUUACAAUUAAGGAAACCUUCAAAAUUCAACAGCUGAUCAUGGAAGAAGCCAUGGAGGGAAGACAAUAAAAUUUCAAGGGCUGUGAAGGGGAAAUCACAUGGCCACUAUGAUGAUUCGGAUCUGAUCUAUUAUUUGAACACUGUUUCCUCUGGGAAUGUAAAAUUCUAUUAAAUGAGAUGGACACAGAAGAUGUCCACAAAGAGAAAUGCUUGUAUCCCCAGCAUGUAUAAAUGCCCAGGAUGGGUGAAAUUUUGUACCAAUCUCAAGACUGGUUGCAAGAUUAGCAAGACUAGGGUUUGAACUUUUACAGUUUCUAUACCAAAAAAUGUAGAACACUAGAAGAAGCAUGAAUAUAAUAUUAUAAGAACACCAUCAGCCAGGAAGAUCUGAGUGACCACGCUCUUGUAUUCAAAAAUGCUAUGUCCAACUCAGCAUUUCCACCGCUUUCCUUGAGCCUCAGGGAAACCUGGCCUGGACCUUAGGUAUAAGUAUGAAAAAUGUAUUUACACAGACUACAGAGUAUUUUACAUGGUGUGAGCUUAUUGGUUCUUGUAAUCCCAAAAAUAAUUUAAUGAAUUCUUUUUCUUUAAGAAUACUUGUGUACAGUACGCUAUUUACAAACAUUAUGCCAAAAUAACCAACCCCUUAGAAUGAAGGAAAACCCAGCUGUUCUGAAGUCUAAGAAAUAUCCUAGCAAUAGUCUUAGUUUUCUUUCCAACUUCAAUUUUUAUUUUAACAUCAAUUAUACUCAUUAUCAAGCCACUGACUUACUUUUUUUCCAGAACAAAACCAGACACACGUUCCCAAUCCUACAGUCACUGUGGAACACUUUUCAAUUAGCAGAAAGGACUUUGGAAGAGUUUCUUAGGUCUGCACUACAUCCUCUUUCACUAGAGUAUUGGUAAGAGACAUUCACACAAUAACCAAAGUGAUGCCCAACUCUUUCUCCAUUGCUGAACAGGAAUGGUACUUCCACAGAACAGAAAAACCCUCAGUUAUUUCUGUAAAUAGUUGUAUGGGCUAUUUGUCAGAAUCUAGCCCCAAACAGUUGCAGUUACUUAUCUGAAGCUCUAUAAUGCUCAGAUUAAGCUUCUGACACAAGGAGGCAUAAUCUCCACAGAUGGUGGAGAAGGAAUAGCCCUUACACCUAACUUUGUUGGAAAAAAUAGGACUGUUGUGCGAGAAACCAAAACUGAUGACCAAGAUACUUAAUUUUCAUCCUGCUGAAUCCUGUCAACUCAAUCCUCAUCACACUUGUUUGCCUUCACGUGCAAAUAGUUUGUUUUUAACAACUGAUGAGUGCCCAAGUAUACAAACUGAUACUUAGCAGCAGUUGCACUGCAACACUAUUGAAUAUUUACACCCGAUUUGCAAUCAUCUGGCAACUGAAAUGCAAUUAACAACUUUGGUUUUAUGUCCCCACCAGAGUUGGCUUGCACAUCCAUCACAAAUGCAUUAAUUUACUCUAAAUUUGCUCUCUGGAUUUAACUCAUUUAAAUGAAGAAAUCAUAUUCUUUCUCAGCUCCUGUUAGCCAUGAUCUCUUCUGCCUAUCAACCUAGAGGGUCUUGUGAUAACCUUUUUGUUAGUUAUUGAUAGUCUAAAAUCACACUGGACUUUGUCAUGACAUUAUAGCCAAUUCUGUUUAUUUUGAGCCUGUAUCAGUGUAAUACCAGAAGAGAGGAAAGAGAUUCCAGAUAGUGGUGAAGUAGCUAUUAAAAACUCUCUGGAAAGUUUAAAGUUAGUACGUGAUCCUGACUGUCAGCAAUUACUUGAAGUCACAAAGACCUAAGAAGUGGUAUCCUGAAAAAAAUCAUAAACAGCAUUGCUUUUUGCUUGUUGGAGACUAGUAUAGUAUUGGAAUGCUGGAUAAUACACAGUGUAGGUAUUUUCAUAACCUGCCUACCACA